ensembl:lncRNA
GAGAUUGAAGUGUUCAAAGGAGCAGAGAAAGCAGGCAGAGAUACCAGGCCUUGGAGCAGUUGGGAGAACUUAAACUUGGCUGGAGGUACUGCCAUAGGUAAUGGCAGAGACAAAGCUGAGCCACGAGCAGAGCAUGGCAAGAGCCUGCAUCAGCUUCCCUGCAGCUGCCAGGCCACCCGGUGAAGAUGAUGAGUAUCUUCUAAGGCAGCUGACAUUGUCUCUGAUGGGAAGAGCAUAUCCUUACAGCCUCUCUGCUGCAGGGACAGCUCCACUCCACCUGAGCCAGAGGAUGGAACUGGAGACCAGCAGGCUCAGGCUGCUGGAAAGGCAUUGCCAGGCACCCCCAGAAGGGAGACCAUGAAGGUCUCACCCACAGGUUUGGAAUUUGCCAGGAAAGGCUCUGCCUGGGUCUGGCAGGAGGCAGAGAGCUGCGGUCCUGCGUGUGCUGCAGCACGGCACAGCUCUCGGGCUGAUGGCCCUAACGGGGUUGUGCUGAUGGGCAGCCUUGAGAAACAAAUCCACUUACAUGGAGAUGUAUGGGAGUAACAACUGACUGCUGCCGACCCCGCUCAGAGCCUGCCAGAUCCUGCAGCCCUGCUUCCCCAAGGCACGCCGCAUCUCCAGGCGUGUGUUGUUCCAUUAAGCUAUUUUUAGCAAACACAUUCCCCUUAUUUCAGCAGCAGUUAUCUGAUUAGUUCCUGUAACUAUAUGAGGAGCAACAUUUCCAGGCAUGACUGAGAGCUGUGAGCAGGCUGUGCCUCUUCACAUGCGUUUUCUCAAAGGGAAAAACUUGCUGGGGCUGCUCCUCCCGCUGUGCUCCCAUGGCUGUGUGGCUCCAAGCACCGGCAUUGCUCACAGCCGAGCCCUGCAGCGUGCGACCUUUGGCAGAGCAGCAGCCAGCAGGCAAUGUCCCCAACACCACCUGCAGCAAGGGACCAUCCCUGUGCCGUGUUGCUGCGAUGCAGCGGCGAUAAGCAGCUGGCUUUGUUUGCUCUGAGCACACGGCUCUUAAAGAUUUCCAUCAUCAUUGGCCAUGGUGGGGAUGGGGGAAAACAAAUCCUCUUUGCUAAAGCAGUGCUGGUCCCAUGGAGGCUGUGCACCUUCCCCCCCUCCCCGUGCAAGGAAUGCCCUGUGCCAGCUUUGUUGCUGCAUGGGGACAAGCUAAAAAUCCUAUGGAGCCAUUGCUAGCUCCAGCAUUGUACUUUGCUCCCUCCACCUCUAUUGACCACAGCUGUCCUGGAAAAUCAGAUUAUAGAGCAAAGCCUUGGCACCAAGUCUGCUCUGCCAAGUCAGGUCCUCCAUCUCCCAGAUGGAUCGUGGCAGGAAGAGGGUGAGAAGCCUCUGCUAUGACAGCUUUGUCUCCAGCUCCAGCAGGAGGAAGCCCAGAGCUCUGCAGCCACGACUGUGUGUGUGGCUCAGGGUGGCAGAAGGGGAUCUCAGGGGGAAUCGAGCCCAACUCAUCUCCCCCAUCCAUCACAGAAGCGCUCAGAGCUCUGCUCUCUGCCUCCCCAUUCUGCGGUGGGAAUGUUUUGAGAGAGCAGAACAGGGAUUCACUGCAGCUUUAAAUGCCCCCAAAGAAGCUGUUCUGCUGCAUGCAGGGAAGCACUGCCCCCGGGGCAUUGCAAGUCCAGGAGGGCAGGAGAGGACACCGGGGAAGGGAGGUGCCCAUUCGUGCAGCUCAGCCCUUGGGGGCACCAAAGGGCCCAAAGAGCAGUGUUCGCUCCAACCACAGCAGCAGUAGGGUUUCACUGUGGUGCAGUCUGGGCUCUGCUCAUGGCUCAGGUUGUUGUGAGCUCCUUUGUGUUGGCCAUCAGCUCCUCCUGGGCUUGUGCAAGCCCUGUUACUUAUUUAUGCCUUCAUUGUGUGCCUGCCUGGCUUCUCACCGGAGAGAUUUAUUUUCCUCCCCUGCUCCGACAGGACUGCUCAAGCCUCCUUCUGCAGGAAGGAUAAGGCUGUGCCGCUGGAACUCUGUCACACAGCUAAAGACAUUUAUUUCAGUUGAGAGAGUCGCAAGUGCCUCGGGUGACACUUCAUUUGCAGCCAGAAAGAAAGAUGCAAAGUGUUCCUCUCUGAAACCAGUUGCUGAGACAGAUCGAGGGUAGCACAAGUUGCCAGCAGAACAGACAGCACCCGCUGCCCCCCAGGGUGUGCCGUGCCACCUCCUGCUCU